CCUACGGGGGGCAGCAGUGGGGAAUAUUGCACAAUGGGGGAAACCCUGAUGCAGCGACGCCGCGUGAGUGAAGAAGGAUUUCGGUAUGUAAAGCUCUAUCAGCAGGGAAGAAAAUGACGGUACCUGACUAAGAAGCUCCUGCUAACUACGUGCCAGCAGCCGCGGGAAUACGUAGGGGGCAAGCGUUAUCCAGAUUUACUGGGUGUAAAGGGAGCGGAGACGGUUAAGCAAGUCAGAAGUGAAAGCCCGGGGCUCAACUCCGGGACUGCUUUUGAAACUGUGUGACUGGAGUGCAUGAGAGGUAAGUGGAAUUCCAGGUGUAGCGGUGAAAUGCGUAGAUAUGAGGAGGAACACCAGUGGCGAAGGCGGCUUCCUGGACUGUAACUGACGUUGAGGCUCGAAAGCGUGGGGAGCAAACAGGAUUAGAUACCCUGGUAGUC
rnacentral:rRNA from 1 species